rnacentral:rRNA from 2 species
UGCAGAAUCCCGUGAACCAUCGAGUCUUUGAACGCAAGUUGCGCCUGAAGCCGUCAGGCCGAGGGCACGCCUGCCUGGGUGUCACCC